rnacentral:piRNA from 2 species
UAAAGAGUUAGCAUCAAUGUUGCAAGAGGA